GUGUCAGCAGCCGCGGUAAUACGUAGGUCGCAAGCGUUGUCCGGAUUUACUGGGCGUAAAGAGCGCGCAGGCGGCUGGUCAAGUCCGAUGUGAAAUCUCCCGGCUCAACUGGGAAACUGCAUCGGAAACUGAUCGGCUUGAAGAUGGGAGAGGGUAGUGGAAUUCCCGGUGUAGUGGUGAAAUGCGUAGAUAUCGGGAGGAACACCAGUGGCGAAGGCGACUACCUGGCCCAUUCUUGACGCUGAGGCGCGAAAGCUAGGGGAGCGAACGGGAUUAGAUACCCCAGUAGUCC
rnacentral:rRNA from 1 species